ACGGGGCUCGCACAAGCGGUGGAGCAUGUGGUUUAAUCGAAGCAACGCGAAGAACCUUACCAGGUCUUGACACUCCCCUGAACAACCCAAGAGAUUGGGCGUUCCCCCUUCGGGGGGACAGGGUGACAGGUGGUGCAUGGUUGUCGUCAGCUCGUGUCGUGAGAUGUUGGGUUAAGUCCCGCAACGAGCGCAACCCUCGCCUCUAGUUGCCAGCGGUUCGGCCGGGCACUCUAACGGGACUGCCCGCGAAAGCGGGAGGAAGGAGGGGACGACGUCUGGUCAGCAUGGCCCUUACGGCCUGGGCGACACACGUGCUACAAUGCCCACUACAAAGCGAUGCCACCCGGCAACGGGGAGCUAAUCGCAAAAAGGUGGGCCCAGUUCGGAUUGGGGUCUGCAACCCGACCCCAUGAAGCCGGAAUCGCUAGUAAUCGCGGAUCAGCCAUGCCGCGGUGAAUACGUUCCCGGGCCUU
rnacentral:rRNA from 1 species